CAGGACGAACGCUGGCGGCGUGCCUAACACAUGCAAGUCGAGCGAGGAGAUCCUUCGGGAUGAUCCUAGCGGCGGACGGGUGAGUAACACGUGGGCAACCUGCCUCAUAGAGAGGAAUAGCCUUCCGAAAGGGAGAUUAAUACCUCAUAACAUUGCAGUUUCGCAUGGAACAGCAAUUAAAGGAGCAAUCCGCUAUGAGAUGGGCCCGCGGCGCAUUAGCUAGUUGGUGAGGUAACGGCUCACCAAGGCGACGAUGCGUAGCCGACCUGAGAGGGUGAUCGGCCACAUUGGGACUGAGACACGGCCCAGACUCCUACGGGAGGCAGCAGUGGGGAAUAUUGCACAAUGGGGGAAACCUGACGCAAGCAACGCCGCGUGAGUGAUGACGGCCUUCGGGUUGUAAAGCUCUGUCUUCAGGGACGAUAAUGACGGUACCUGAGGAGGAAGCCACGGCUAACUACGUGCCAGCAGCCGC
rnacentral:rRNA from 1 species